GUGUUUCCAUUUCUCCUCCAGCCGUUACAAAUCAGAAGCCCUUUAGGUGGCGUUUGGUUCAGCAAACACAGUGGUAAUGGUAACGUAAAGAAAAAACAGCACUAUUUGUUACAAUGUAAUUCCACAGAAUGUUUAUAAGCAUCCUUUGAUCAAAGUAUUUAAAACAUGCAUACAUAAAUUAAAACUUCUAGAAAUUCACUGCAUAUUGGACAUCCACAAAAUCAGGAGAACACUAUUCACCAAAUGCUCUUGAGAUUCUUGAGUGAUAAUUUGAAGUCACUUCCUUUGAGCUUCAUCUGAAAAGAACAAGUAUAACACAUGAGUACAAGAAAGAUAUGUAAUAUGCGCAUUGAAGAUAAUUAUCUUUCUAUCAUUAGAGUGAAAGAUAAUUAUCUUUCUAUUAUUAGAGUUGAAUCGUACAUAAUUAUCUUUCUAUUAUCAGUGUUGUCUCGAGUAAUGUCUCAUGUCAUAGUGUAAAAGCACAGAUAACUUGGUGCACGGGUAAAAGUAGCUGCAAAAGAACAGAUAAACCAAGGGAAAAUCUUUUUUGCUUCUAUGAAUCCUUCUACUAUUUGCAACUGCUAGUGAUAAUUAUUUAGAAAAUACCACUUCACCUAUAAUGUGAACUGCCUGAACCCGAACAAAACAACUCUGGUUGCUUAUUAUUGAUGAUGGAUGAUUUGUCACAAGACAAUGGCUCAUUGACUGACAGUAAGGAUGCUAAUUGACCGAUAGUAAGGACGCUAAUUGACUGACAGUAAGGAUACUGUAUAUAUUUAUGUGAGCCACACAGAUAGUAAGGAUGCUAAUUGACUGAUAGUAAGGAUGAUGUUAAUUGUGAGCCAGACAGAUCCAAAGAAAAUAGCUAGCCUUACAUGAAAUUCCACAAGAAAAAGCGACAAUUAUAUUUAUUUCUAGGAAAUUUCGAUCAGGACGCCAAUCAACAAAGGAAAAAGUGAAUGUUUAGAGAUUGAUAUUGGCACAAAUGAACACCAAACUCCAAACAAGCAUCAUACUCACUACAUGCAUGAAAUUGUUCUUCGCACAAAAUGUCACACACACAUGCAUGGAUGGUUGUCUAGAUUCAAGAAGAGUUUGGUAGAGAUCAGACUUGUUAGAGACUGGAUAAAUGACAGAUUCAUGGAGCAGACCGUGUAGCAAAGAAGGGAGUAGUGGAGGUAAGGCUAACAAGCAAAGCAAGUGGCUGGAGCAGCAUGUGUACCACGAGGUGGAGAACUCGAAGAGGCGGCCACAACUGGAGAAGAUGUGGCCUCUUCAAGAAAUGACGCAGAACAACACGGGAGGUUAGGAUUUCGAGGGAAAUUUGGAGAUAGAGCUGGAUGCAAGAGGGAGGUGUUGGAACUUGCUCUCCUGGGAAAGUUGAUCCAACGAGGGAAUGAAAGCAACGUAAACAAGGUUUCAACUUGAGAUGGCAAUAGCUCUGUUAAAUCCAUCCUCUCAAAGGCACUGUACAGGGGUAUUUAUAGGUGCCUGAGUGCCCAACGUCUCAAUGUAAGGACGCAUGUACCCUCAGGCACCUGGACUAUCCCCGGAAUAUUCCUAUAAAGAAGGGUUACAGACUGUCAUUACAGAAAAGCUAUUACAAAUCGGGCCCGUAACAUGCUUCUCCGUGCGGGGCCUGUUACAAUGGGUCGAAUCCCACGUGGGCCUCAAGGCUGAGUGAGGACGUGGGACGGGGCGACGUCGUCGUAGGCCUUCGUCUCGUAGUGUACAAGGCGAAGGGCGGACCUCGCCGGUUCUUCUGCUUCCGUUGGCGCAGCGAGAAAGACGAAGGCUGGAGCGAAGGGUAGCGUCUUCGCCUUCGCCCCAACAUUUGCCCUCCGAGGGACCAGUUCGACUGAGUCAUCUGGUGCCGAACACGUCGCUAGAUGGUGGAGACGCUGCCCUCGCUCGAAAUGGUUCCGCGGGGGUUUUUGAUGUGACCGUUGACGGACGCGGUACUGUUAGACUGCGGGUUUCCCGAUGCGUCGCGUCCCGUGUAUAAAAAGGAGGUCGAGGCGGCGCGGUUCGGGUGCACUUUUUGCGCGCCGCAAAACCCUAGCCUCCUUUUGAAACCGCUCGUCCGCUCGCCUGCCCUCCUUGCUCCUGCUCAUCGGAGAUCUGGCCCGCGUCAAGCAGACCGCCCGCCGCCGCCGACGGUACGUAGCCAUGCCGUCCUCUUCCUCGUCUGCUGCGAGUACCCCGCCGGCCGUCUCAUCGCUAGAGGACACUUUGAGCGACUUGGCGGUGGAAGCGCUACAUCCUGGUGAUACAGUGGAGUUUGGCGUGUCGCGGAUCUCCUCGGUCCGCGUUCAGGAUAUGCAGCAACUUGGGUAUUUUGGCAGCGGAGUGGGGCGUGUUCUGGGGGCGGAGGAGGUCCCCGAGCCGGAGGGCGAGCUGGUCGUGUUUGAAGUGUUUUUUACCGCUGGCCUUCGUCUACCUGCACAUCGAUUCGUGGCGGAGGUCCUGCGGAGAUUCGAGGUCCAGGUCCACCAGCUGACGCCGAAUACCGUGGUGGCCCUGGCGAAGUAUGUCUGGGCGACGACUUCGUAUGGUGGUCAGCCCUCUGUGGAGGUCUUCACAAAGCAUUACUGUCUGCAUUGGCAAAAGAGGAAAAUUGGACAUGAGAUUGCACAAUUUGGAUCGUGCACAUUUACCCCGAGGACCGGGAAGACCUCGAUGGAAGUCGUGGAGUUGGUUCUGAAAGGGAAAUGUGCCCUUGGGCCAUUUCUAUAAGAUUUUGGUGAUUAAGUGCCCAACACACAUUAAGGGAAUGAGUAUAUGCCAAAGGGUGGACAAAGUGCAAAUCAAUACAAAGGUAUGAUUCUAGACUUAGUACAUUGGUUUUUGUGUACUAACAUAUCUGUCUAAGUGCUAGAAUCACAUAAAAGACAAUUGGAAAAGACUUGGCUUGAGCAGCCAAGACUCUGCUCAGUCUGGGUGCACCGAACUGUCCGGUGGUGCACCGGACAGUGUCCGGUGCGCCAGGCUGGCUCUGGAGAAAAGGCCGCUCUCGGGAAUUCGUCGGCGGCAUACGGCUAAAAUUCACCGGACUGUCCGGUGAGCCAACGGUCGGCCGCGCGAUCCGCGCGUGACGCGUGGCCGGGCCAACGGUCUGAAGGGGCACCGGACUGUCCGGUGUGCACCGGACAGUGUCCGGUGCGCCAACGGCUCCAAAUCUUCAACGGUCGGCUACGCCAGAAUAGGAAAGAAAUCCGCACCGGACAGUGUCCGGUGGUGCACCGGACUGUCCGGUGCGCCAGUCGACAGAAGGCAAGAAUUGCCUUCCUGGAAUGCUCUCAACGGCUCCUAGCUGCCUUGGGGCUAUAAAACAGACCCCUAGGCGCAUGGAGGAAAACACCAAGCACACUUUGAGCAUUCUUGAUCAUUCACACUUCGUCUUUGCGCACUUGUUUGACAUUCUUAGUGAUUUGAGCUCUGUUCUAGUGAGAACUUUGAGAUAUUCAUUUGAGCUCAAGUCUUGGCCGUGUGUGUGCGUAUUGCUGUGGACUUGUGUGUGUUGCUCAUCCCAUCCUUACUUCCAUGUUCAUUUGUGAUCAUCUUUUGUAAGGGCGAGAGACUCCAAGUUGUGGAGAUUCCUCGCAAACGGGAUAUAGUGAAAGGGAAGAAAAACACCGUGGUAUUCAAGUGGAUCUUUGGAUCACUUGAGAGGGGUUGAUUGCAACCCUCGUCCGUUGGGACGCCACAACGUGGAGUAGGCAAGUGUUGAACUUGGCCGAACCACGGGAUAAACCACUGUGCCUCUCUGUGUUGAUAUCCUUGUGGUUAUUGUGUUUUGCAAGAUCUCCUCUCUAUCCACUUGGCUUUAUUGCUCUAACACUUAAUCAAGUUUGUGGCUUUAAGUUUUAAGUUUUUACAGGAUCACCUAUUCACCCCCCCUCUAGGUGCUCUCAAUUGGUAUCGGAGUCGUUCUCUUCAAGAAAGGGACUAAUCGCCCGAAGAGAUGGAUCCUAAGGGAAAGGGGAUGGUGGUCAACGACAAUGAGAAGGAGUCCAUCUUCAACGAGCCAAGGGACGACAAAGUCAAUGACUCCGGCUCGAGUCAAAAGAAGAAAGAUGGAAAGAAGAAGAGGCGCAUCAGGAAGGUUGUCUACUACGACAGCAACGAAUCUUCCUCUCCUCAAAAGGACGACGAAUACGAGGAGAAAAAGAAAACGGUUAACUCGAACUUUUCUUUUGAUUACUCUCGUAUUCCGCAUAAUUCCAAUGCUCAUUUGCUUUCUAUUCCACUUGGUAAACCUCCUCACUUUGAUGGAGUGGACUAUGAAUUUUGGAGUCACAAAAUGCAUAGUCAUUUGUUCUCUCUUCAUCCAAGUAUAUGGGAGAUAGUAGAAAACAGAAUGCAAUUUGAUAGUUCGGAUAAUUCUAUGUUUAUCAAUGAACAAAUCCAUAAGAAUGCACAAGCUACUACUGUUCUUCUAGCAUCCUUGUGCAGGGAAGAAUACAAUAAGGUGAGCGGCUUGGACAAUGCCAAACAGAUCUGGGACACCCUCAAGAUCUCACAUGAGGGGAACGACGUCACCAUGCUCACCAAGAUGGAGUUGGUGGAAGGCGAACUAGGAAGGUUCGCAAUGAUCAGGGGGGAGGAGCCAACCCAAACGUACAAUAGGCUAAAGACCCUCGUCAACAAAAUAAGGAGCUAUGGAAGCACACGAUGGACGGACCACGACGUCGUCCGACUUAUGCUAAGGUCCUUCACCGUCCUUGAUCCUCAUCUUGUUAACUCUAUUCGUGAGAAUCCUAGGUACACCAAGAUGAUGCCCGAAGAAAUACUUGGGAAGUUUGUAAGCGGGCGAAUGAUGAUCAAGGAGGCAAGAUACGUUGAUGAUGCGUUGAAUGGCCCAAUCCACGAGCCUCAAACCAUUGCUCUCAAAGCAACAAGGAGCAGGGAGGCGCUACCGAGCAAGGUGGCGCAAGUUGAGGCGGUCGAGCUUAACGAGGAAGAAAUGGCCCUCAUCAUCAAGCGUUUCAAGACGACGCUCAAAGGUCGCAAGGAGCAUCCCAACAAGAGCAAGACGAAGGGAAAGCGCUCCUGCUUCAAGUGUGGUAAGGUUGGUCAUUUUAUUGCUAAUUGUCCCGAUAAUGACAGUGACCAGGAUCAAGAAAAGAAGAGGGAAAAGAAAAAGACCUAUAAGAAGGCUAAGGGCGAGGCACACCUUGGCAAGGAGUGGGACUCGGAUUGUUCAUCGUCCGACUCCGACGAUGAAGGACUCACCGCCUCUGCCUUCAACAAGUCGUCCCUCUUCCCCAACGAGCUUCACACAUGCCUCAUGGCAAAGGAGAAGAAGGUAAGUACUCGAAAUAAUACUACGAAUGCCUCUUCAAGUGAUGAUGAAUCGAGUGAUGAUGAAAUAGACUAUGCAUGUUUAUUCAAAGGAUUAGAUAGAACUAAAAUUGAUAAGAUCAAUGAAUUGAUUGAUGCUUUGAAUGAGAAGAAUAGACUUUUAGAAAGGCAAGAAGAUCUUUUAUAUGAAGAGCAUGAUAAAUUUGUAAGUGCGCAAAAUUCUCUUGCUUUAGAAGUUAAAAGGAAUGAAAUGCUUUCACGUGAACUAUCUACAUGCCAUGAAUCCAUUUCUAGCUUAAAGAGUAUCAAUGAUGACUUGAAUGCUAAGUUAGAAAUAGCAAAUAAAUCAACCUCUUGUGUAGAACAUGUUAUGAUUUGCAAUAGGUGUAAAGAUUUUAAUAUUGAUGCUUGUAGUGAACACCUAGUUUCCAUUGCAAAAUUAAAUGAUGAAGUGGCUAGUCUUAAUGCCCAACUUAAGACUAGCAAAAGUGAAUUUGAUAAAUUAAAAUUUGCUAGGGAUGCCUACACGAUUGGUAGACACCCCUCAAUUAAGGAUGGGCUUGGCUUUGAGAGAGAAGCCAAGAACUUAACAAGUCAUAAGGCUCCCAUUCCAGCCAAGGAGAAAGGGAAGGCUCCUAUGACUAAUAGUGCUCAAAAGAACCAUGCUUUCAUGUACCAUGAUAGGAGAUAUUCUAGAAAUGUUCAUCAUGAUAGGAGUUAUAAUGCUUAUGAUUCCAAUGCCAUGUUUGCAUCAAGUUCUUCCUAUGUGCAUGGUAGAGAUGCAUAAGAAAAAUGUCAUUCAUCAUAUGCCUAGGAGAAAUGUUGCUCAUGUUCAUAGGAAAAUAGUUAAUGAACCUUCUACAAUUUAUCAUGCUUGCAAUGCUUCCUUUGCAAUUUGUAGAAAGGAUAAGAAGGUGAUUGCUAGGAAAUUAGGGGCAAAAUGCAAGGGAGAUAAAACUUGCAUUUGGGUCCCUAAGACCAUUGUUACUAACCUUGUAGGACCCAACAAGAGUUGGGUACCUAUGACCCAAGCCUAAAUUGCCUUGCAGGUUUAUGCAUCCGGGGGCUCAAGCUGGAUUAUCGACAGCGGAUGCACAAACCACAUGACAGGGGAGAAGAAGAUGUUCACCUCCUACAUCAAGAACAAGGAUUCCCAAGAUUCAAUCAUAUUCGGUGAUGGGAACCAAGGCAAGGUUAAAGGAUUAGGAAAAAUAGCAAUUUCAUCCGAGCAUUCCAUUUCUAAUGUGUUUUUAGUAGAAUCGCUCGGAUAUAACUUGUUGUCUGUUAGUCAACUUUGUAGUAUGGGUUAUAAUUGCUUAUUCACAAAUGUAGAUGUGUUUGUCUUUAGAAGAAGUGAUGGUUCAUUAGCUUUUAAGGGUAUACUAGACGACAAAAUUUAUUUAGUUGAUUUUGCAAAAGAGGAGGCCGGUCUAGAUGCAUGCUUAAUUGCUAAGACUAGCAUGGGCUGGCUGUGGCAUCGCCGUUUAGCACAUGUGGGGAUGAAGAACCUUCACAAGCUUCUAAAGGGAGAACAUGUGUUAGGACUAACAAAUGUAAAUUUCGAAAAAGAUAGACCUUGUGCAGCUUGUCAAGCGGGCAAACAGGUGGGAAGCUCUCAUCAUAUCAAAAAUGUGAUGACCACGUCAAGACCUUUGGAGUUACUUCAUAUGGACCUCUUCGGACCCGUCACCUACCUUAGCAUCGGGGGAAGUAAGUAUGGUUUAGUAAUUGUUGAUGAUUUUUCCCGCUUCACUUGGGUAUUCUUUUUGCAGGAUAAAUCUGAAACCCAAGGGACCCUCAAGCGCUUCCUAAGGAGAGCUCAAAAUGAAUUUGAGCUCAAGGUGAAUAAGAUAAGGAGCGACAACGGGUCCGAGUUCAAGAACCUUCAAGUGGAGGAGUACCUUGAGGAGGAAGGAAUCAAGCACGAGUUCUCCGCUCCCUACACACCACAACAAAAUGGUGUGGUAGAGAGGAAGAACAGGACGCUCAUUGACAUGGCAAGGACGAUGCUUGGAGAGUUCAAGACCCCCGAGCGGUUUUGGUCGGAAGCCAUGAACACGGCUUGCCACGCCAUAAACCGGGUCUACCUUCAUCGCCUCCUCAAGAAGACUUCGUACGAACUCCUAACCGGUAACAAACCCAAUGUGUCAUACUUUCAUGUUUUUGGGAGCAAAUGUUAUAUUCUAGUGAAAAAGGUAGAAAUUCCAAGUUUGCUCCCAAAGCUGUAGAAAGGUUUUUGUUAGGUUAUGACUCAAAUACAAAGGCGUAUAGGGUCUUCAACAAAUCAUCGGGUUUGGUUGAAGUCUCUAGCGACGUUGUAUUUGAUGAGACUAAUGGCUCUCCAAGAGAGCAAGAUGUUGAUCUUGAUGAUAUAGAUGAAGAAGAUGUUCCAACGACCGCCAUACGCACCAUGGCAAUUGAAGAUGUGCGACCACAGGAACAAAAGGAGCAAGAUCAACCUUCUUCCUCAACAAUGGUGCAACCCCCAACUCAAGAUGAUGAACAGGUUCAUCAAGAAGAACCGUGUGAUCAAGGGGGAGCACAAGAUGAUCAUGUUAUGGAGGAAGAAGCACCUCAAGCCCCUCCAACUCAAGUUCGAGCGACGAUUCAAAGGAAUCAUCCUGUCGACCAGAUAUUGGGUGAUAUUAGCAAGGGAGUAACUACUCGCUCUAGAUUAGUUAAUUUUUGUGAGCAUUACUCUUUUGUCUCUUCUAUUGAGCCUUUCAAGGUAGAAGAGGCCUUGCUAGAUCCGGACUGGGUGUUGGCCAUGCAGGAGGAGCUCAACAAUUUCAAGAGAAAUGAAGUUUGGACACUGGUGCCAUGUCCCAAGCAAAACGUUGUGGGAACCAAGUGGGUAUUCCGCAACAAACAAGACGAGCACGGAGUGGUGACAAGGAACAAGGCUAGACUUGUGGCAAAAGGUUAUGCCUAAGUCGCAGGUUUGGACUUUGAGGAGACUUUUGCUCCUAUGGCUAGGCUAGAGUCAAUUCGCAUAUUGUUAGCCUAUGCCGCUCACCAUUCUUUCAGGUUGUUCCAAAUGGACAUGAAGAGCUCUUUCCUCAACGGGCCAAUAAAGGAGGAGGUAUACGUAGAGCAACCCCCUGGCUUUGAGGAUGAAUGGUACCCCGACCACGUGUGUAAGCUCUCUAAGGCGCUCUAUGGACUUAAGCAAGCCCCAAGAGCAUGGUAUGAAUGCCUUAGAGACUUUAUAAUUGCUAAUUCUUUCAAGGUUGGGAAAGCCGAUCCGACUUUAUUCACUAAGACUUGUGAUGGUGACUUAUUUGUGUGCCAAAUUUAUGUCGAUGACAUAAUAUUUGGUUCUACUAACCAAAAGUCUUGUGAAGAAUUUAGCAGGGUGAUGACGCAGAAAUUCGAGAUGUCGAUGAUGGGCGAGUUGAACUACUUCCUUGGGUUCCAAGUGAAGCAACUCAAGGACGGCACCUUCAUCUCUCAAACGAAGUAUACGCAGGACUUGCUCAAACGGUUUGGGAUGAAGGACGCCAAGCCCGCAAAGACUCCAAUGAGAACCGACGGACAUGUCGACCUCAACAAAGGAGGUAAGUCCGUUGAUCAAAAAGCAUACCAGUCUAUGAUAGGUUCCUUGCUUUACUUAUGUGCUAGUAGACCGGAUAUUAUGCUUAGCGUAUGCAUGUGUGCUAGAUUUCAAUCCGAUCCAAGGGAGUGUCACUUAGUGGCCGUGAAGCGAAUUCUUAGAUAUUUAGUCGCUACGCCUUGCUUCGGGAUCUGGUAUCCAAAGGGGUCUACCUUUGACUUAAUUGGAUAUUCAGACUCCGAAUAUGUUGGAUGUAAGGUUGAUAGGAAGAGUACAUCAGGGACGUGCCAAUUCUUAGGAAGGUCCCUGGUGUCGUGGAGCUCUAAGAAACAAACCUCUGUUGCCCUAUCCACUGCUGAGGCCGAGUACGUUGCCGCAGGACAGUGUUGCGCGCAACUACUUUGGAUGAGGCAAACCCUCCGGGACUUUGGCUACAAUCUGAGCAAAGUCCCACUCCUAUGUGAUAAUGAGAGUGCUAUCCGCAUGGCGGAUAAUCCUGUUGAACACAGCCGCACAAAGCGCAUAGACAUCCGGCAUCACUUUUUGAGAGACCACCAGCAAAAGGGAGAUAUCGAAGUGUUUUAUGUUAGCACCGAGAACCAGCUAGCCAAUAUCUUUACCAAGCCUUUAGAUGAAAAGACCUUUUGCAGGCUGCGUAGUGAGCUAAAUGUCCUAGAUUCGCGGAACUUGGAUUGAUUUGUAGCAUACAUGUGUCUUAUGCUUUGAUCAUGUUCCUUUAUGCAUUUUGUUAUGUAUUUAUGGUGUUCAAGUUGUACAAACACUCCCCGGACCUCAAAAGUUCAUGUUUGUGUGAUGCACAUAUUUAUGGGGAGAUGUGCUACAACUUGACCCUUUGAGACUAACUGUGUGCUUGAGUUUACUUGAUUUAGUCUCAAAGGUGGAUUGAAAGGAAAAGGUGAACUUGGACCAUUCAAGACUUCCACUGCACUCCGAUGAGAGGGUAACUCACUCCAAGUUCAUCUCCAUAUUCCUAUUGCCUUUUUGCUCUUAAUUGACAAUUUUGGUGAGGCAAUGGGGUUUAAGGGCCAUAAAUGAUCUUGUUUUGGUGCUUGAUGCCAAAGGGGGAGAAAUUAAGGGCCAAAGCAACAAAUGGAUCAGCUACCACUUGAGAAUUUUGAAAAUAGUAGAGUUAGGACUUUUGAUUUGUCAAAAAUCUAAAUGUCUCUUUUUGUCAAAAGUUGGUCUCUUGUGGGGAGAAUGUUUGAUUAUGGGAAAUAGGGGGAGUUUUUGAAUCAGUGAUCAAUUUCUCUUGGAAUACCUUUCUCUAUGCCUCAACAAGUGAAUUUGACUUAGAGUUAGGAAAUUAAGUUUGAUUUGCAAAAACAAAUCAAGUGCUGGCAAAGAAUGAUCCAAAUAUGCCAAAUUUGAAUCAAAACAAAUUUGUGUUCUCAUUUGCAUUGAUGUUGCACUUCUUUUAGUUGCUUUUUGUUGUGUUGGCAUAAAUCACCAAAAAGGGGGAGAUUGAAAGGGAAAUGUGCCCUUCGGCCAUUUCUAUAAGAUUUUGGUGAUUAAGUGCCCAACACACAUUAAGGGAAUGAGUAUAUGCCAAAGGGUGGACAAAGUGCAAAUCAAUACAAAGGUAUGAUUCUAGACUUAGUACAUUGGUUUUUGUGUACUAACAUAUCUGUCUAAGUGCUAGAAUCAGAGAAAAGACAAUUGGAAAAGACUUGGCUCGAGCAGCCAAGACUCUGCUCAGUCUGGUUGCACCGGACUGUCUGGUGGUGCACCGGACAGUGUCCGGUGCGCCAGGCUGGCUCUGGAGAAAAGGCCGCUCUCGGGAAUUCGUCGGCGGCGUACGGCUAAAAUUCACCGGACUGUCUGGUGUGCACCGGACUGUCUGGUGUGCACCGGACUGUCCGGUGAGCCAACGGUCGGCCGCGCAAUCCACGUGUGACAUGUGGCCGGGCCAACGGUCUGAAGGGGGCACCGGGCAGUGUCCGGUGCGCCAACGGCUCCAAAUCUUCAACGGUCGGCUGCGCCAGAAUAGGAAAGAAAUCCACACCGGACAGUGUCCGGUGGUGCACCGGACUGUCCGGUGCGCCAGUCGACAAAAGGCAAGAAUUGCCUUCCUGGAAUGCUCUCAAUGGCUCCUAGCUGCCUUGGGGCUAUAAAAGGGACCCCUAGGCGCAUGGAGGAAAACACCAAGCACACUUUGAGCAUUCUUGAUCAUUCACACUUCGUCUUUGCGCACUCGUUUGACAUUCUUAGUGAUUUGAGCUCUGUUCUAGUGAGAACUUUGAGAUAUUCAUUUGAGCUCAAGUCUUGGCCGUGUGUGUGUGUGCGUAUUGUUGUGGACUUGUGUGUGUUGCUCAUCCCAUCCUUACUUCCGUGUUUGUUUGUGAUCAUCUUUUGUAAGGGCGAGAGACUCCAAGUUGUGGAGAUUCCUCGCAAACGGGAUAUAGUGAAAGGGAAGAAAAACACCAUGGUAUUCAAGUGGAUCUUUGGAUCACUUGAGAGGGGUUGAUUGCAACCCUCGUCCGUUGGGACGCCACAACAUGGAGUAGGCAAGUGUUGAACUUGGUCGAACCACGGGAUAAACCAAUGUGCCUCUCUGUGUUGAUAUCCUUGUGGUUAUUGUGUUUUGCAAGAUCUCCUCUCUAUCCACUUGGCUUUAUUGCUCUAACACUUAAUCAAGUUUGUGGCUUUAAGUUUUAAGUUUUUACAGGAUCACCUAUUCACCCCCCCUCUAGGUGCUCUCAGGUUCCCUGUGCCCGUAAUAAGUGGGACAACUGGUGUGAUUUCUGGUUUUACGUUUCCGAAGGUGCAGUCAAAGACCACCCAGGGCUCCCCGUGGCCGUCAUGUGCUCGCAUUAUUACGUAGCGUACCCACAGUUUGAGGUGGCAGAGGAUGAUGAAGACGAAGGAGCCCUUCGGCGUGCUGCCCGCAUGAGUAGCAGGCGUGACUUAGUUGAGGAGUUUGUCGGGUAUGGGGUAUGGCCCUUGGCGCAUGGCUGGGCGCUGGGCGAAGUAUGCCCUCGUGAGAUGCCCUCCCGGGGCGGGCAGCGGGUGCGAAGUCCUGCCUUCGCGUUGGAUUUGCGUGGCCGGGAUCCCGCCGCAUUCGUGCGUGAAGCGGAGGACGGUGUGACGAGGAUCGUGGGGCGCUACGUGCCAAAGACAGAGGGUCUACGGGGCUGGGAAAUCCGUGGGUCCAACAACAGAUUGAAUCGGGUCUUCGAAUUGAACCGCUUGCCAUAUGGUGGUUAUCCCGGGGAAGACGCCACCGACUGCCGCGGGAAGAAAUUGAUGGGCGUGACCGAGGAAGGGCCUUCACAGGAGGCUGCCCAGGCCACUAAGAGGAGAAAAUUAGGUACUAUAGUGGGGGGAAUGGGGGUGUCUGAUAGUUUUGCUGUGGAUUUGAUGGGGACGUGCGCAGCCCUCGAGGGAAGGAUGUCUUCGCCCGAGCUCCGGGAGUCUUCGGCGCGAAUGCUGGAGGUUACCGGGGGUCGAUGGCCCAAGAAUGAUCCGAUCCCCCACGCGGCUGGCGAAGACUUCUAUACGUCCCGCAUGGCACGCGACUUGAAGGUGUUUCCUUACGAACGGAAUAUUGGUGCUGUUGUGUCGGCAGUGAUGAACAAGGACCGUCAAGAUGCUGCGCAGAAGCGCCGGGCCGUCGUCAGGAUGGCGGAUCCUGCGGGCGAGGCGAAGAGGGCGCGGGGGAGCGUGAAGGCUGCUGCCUCCAGCAGUAGCAAGCCGGUGCUGCCUGCAAAAGCAGCUGCCCCCAGACCCAGCAAGGCGUCGGCGAGCGUGAAGGCUGUCGCCUCUGGCGCAGGCAGGCCUCCCCUGGGCGGACCUACGAAAGGACAGGAACUGCCUUCGCCGAGGAGACGUGUUGUUGACUUCGGCACGAAUAUCAGUGUCGAGGAUUAUCUUGUUGGUAAGUUUUUUUUGACCGGAGAUAUGUUGAAGGGUUGGGUGAGGGACAGUUGGUUGUUGUCCCGCCUUCGGUGGCAACCACUUCGCCAUCGGCGGUGGUAAGGGCGAAGGGAGCCGCGUAGGACCCGUGGGCCGCCUUCUGCGCGAGCGGCGAGAUUCUGACAGCCGCUGCUGCUAAGGACGUGGCGGGCACCAUGUCCCAGCGGCUGAGGGAGGUGUCGCAGCAGCUGAAGCAAGUAAGUUGUGCUGGACUUCGAUGUUUGUUGUUUCGUUGAAGGUUUGGGUCUCAUGUGUUUUUGUCAGGCGGCCGACUUCGCUGACCGUGUUGCAUCGGGCAUCCUGACUGCAGAUGUCGCUGCCGAAGUCGAAAGUCUUCAAGCGCAGCAUGCGGAUGCUGUCCGGGAGAAGUCGGCUACGGAGAGCAAAAACCGCAGGCUGGCGGAGAAGGUGGCUGCCUUGGAGGCCAAGAAGACGGACCUCCGAUGCCGGCUGGCGGAGGAGAGGAGGGAGGCUAACCAGGCCAUCGCUGAAGCGCAGGCUGCGCGAGCGGAGGCUAAAGUGGCGCGGGCGGAGAACAGUCUCGCCAGCCAACGCGCCAAGGAGUGGGAGGCAAGGUUCAACGCCCUGCGCGGCCGCGUGGACAAGGCCGAGGCCUCGACGCGCUCGGAAGUCGAGCGGACGCACGUGCAGUUCGUGGAUGCGUACCGCGAUCUGGGUGCACGGACUGUGGACUUCGAAGUGCCCGACCAAGAGGCAGGCCUUCGCUUCCUCGAAUGGUUACAGGAGGAGCUGGUGGUGCUCCCGACUAUUGUGCAGGGUUUCAUGUCCUUCGCCUCCCUCGUCACCUGCGAGGGGACCCUGAAUGCGUUGUCCCGCGAGGGGUGCCGACACUACGAGGUCUUCGACCAAUCAGACGAGAACUUUGAACGUGAAAUUUUCAAGGCUGAAGACCCUGUGGUGAAGCAGUCAGCGGGGGCACUCUUCGAUAGGAUGUGGGGUCCGCACGGUCGGGAGGCGGUUAAGGAGCGGUCUGACCGGGCGAUAGAGCAAGUAAAGGUUAUCUUUUGUUUUAUGUGGUUGUGUGGGUAUGUGUGGUUUUGCUGAAUGAGUGUGUUGUUGCUGCAGAUGGCGCGUGCCGAGGAUGUCAAGGACCUUGGAGAUCUGGUCGGCGCGCCGCCCGAGGCUGAGGUCGACCCAGUGCCGCCUUCGAGUGCCGGUGAAGGCUCCUCGGCUGCACCCGUGCCUACUGUGGCCGAUGAAGGCCCUUUGCCAGCCCCUGCACCGAUGGCCGAAGAUCCCCCGAAGGUGGCGGUUGAGCUGGUGGCCGAAGACCCCAUGGCCGCGGCCGGGCCUUCACAGGUGGUUGAGUAGGAGUUUGGGGAGUUUGUAAAUUUUGGCUGUGUUACUGAACCUUGGUUGCUGCACAGGUUCAUGAUUUUGGGCCUGCGCACGCAAUCGCUACUAUCAAUGAUAAUUUUGUGGCGGCUUCGAUCGUGGUUGCUGAAGACGAUUCUGAUGAUUCUAUGUUUAAGUGUUUUGAGUCUGAUGAUUCUGGGGGUUCGAUUGUGUGGACAGAGGAGUCUUCGGAUGAGGAUUUGGAUUACUUUGCGGCAUUGGAUGUGGCUGCAGCGGAGGCUUCACCGUGUGUAAUGGGUGAUGAGGAUCUUCCGGGUGCGAGUGUUGGGCAUAGGCGGCGAAGGGCGGUGGCGAAACGAAGGGUGAGUGAGUUGCCGCGAGGUGAUAGGCGUCAUCGUGGUGAGGUGGGAGGUGGUCGCCUUCGUGUGGACAGGGCUGGCAAGCGGGAAUUGUUGUCCUCGUCGGCUGGGGCGAGUGUGGGUGAGGGGGAGCUGCGAAGUCUGUUUGCGGGUGAGGAAUUGAGGAUAAUGUUGUUCAACUAUAGGGAGAUGGGUAUCAUCCUGAAGGUUGAGCCAAUGUAAUGUGCGAUGCCCUCGCUGUAUGUAUGUAACCAUACUCUUGUGUGAUGAAGCUGCGCGUUUUCGUUGAUCAGGCCGCUCCCAUAGGCUUCUGUACGGAGUUCUUUAGAAAAGACUUCAAUUUUUCCGUACUAGUAUUCCGGCUGCACCCGUAGGUGACUUUUGCGCAGAGGGUCUUUUGGAAAAGACUUCGAUUUUUCGCACUUAUUGUGCUAGUCCGGCUGCACCCUUGGGCGACUUUUGCACGGAGAGUCUCUUGGAAAAGACUUCGAUUUUUCGCACUUGUUAUGCUAAUCCGGCUGCACCCUUAGGCGACUUUUGCACGGAGAGUCUUUUGGAAAAGACUUCGAUGUUUCGCACUUGUUGUGCUAAUCUGGCUGCACCCUUAGGCGACUUUUGCAUGGAGAGUCUUUUGGAAAAGACUUUGAUGUUUCGCACUUGUUGUGCUGAUCCGGUUGCACCCUUAGGCGACUUUUGCGCGGAGUGUCACACGCGAGGGAGACUUCGCUGCCCCUCGCGGUGACUUCGAUGUUGUCGAAUGCCGAAGACCGUCGAUGCGGUCUUUUUCGACAUCGCUUUAAUUUUUUGCGGGGGAUUUUCGCGUGUAUAUUACAUGGCUCCGCCUCAUUAAAAACCUCACCUCCCGGGAGGAAAAGAGUGCGGGCUGAAAUAAAACUGUUUGGUGAAUUACAAGGGCGUGUUAGCUCUGAGGUUUUAAACAAAAAAUUUACGGAGAUUGUCAAUAUUCCAGGAAUGUUCCAGGUCUUCGCCAGAUUGCGUUGUUAGUCUGUACACGCUGGGAGACGACUUCGUCUUGACGAUAAAUGGUCCUUCCCACUUUGGCUCUAGCUUACCCCGUGACUCUGUCCGGGUUGUGCGGACAAGUACGAGGUCCCCUUCGUUGAAUUCUCAUGGGACGACUGCGUGGUCACGCCAGGCCUUCGUUUGGGCUUGGUAUUUGUUGAGGGCCUGGAGGGCAAAGACACGGUCUCCGUCGAUGAGAUCUUUGGAGGUUAGCUCAUCGACGUCGGGUACUGCUGAAGCGCUUGUCCGCAGGGACCCAUGUUUCAUUUCCUGCGGGGUCAUGGCCUCCGAUCCGUAUAGCAAGCGAAAGGGAGUGAAUCUGGUCGCCCGACACUCGGUCGUGUUCAGUGCCCAGACUGCUUCAGGUAGCAGGUCGGCCCAUUUACCCUUCUUGUCGUCGAGGAGCAUUUUCUUGAUUGCCGUGAAAAUCUUGCCAUUGGCGCGCUCCACGACGCCGUUGGAUUGUGGGUGGUACACUGAGGCGAAGGCAAGCUUGGUGCCAAUGGAGAAGCAGAAGUCCCUGAAGUCUUGGCUGUCAAAUUGUUUGCCAUUGUCAACUGUGAGCUCGGACGGGACUCCGAAUCGGCAGACAAUGUUUUGCUAGAAGAAUUUCUGGGCGGUCUUCGAUGUUAUCGUGGAUACUGCUCUUGCCUCGAUCCACUUGGUGAAAUAUUCGACAGUGACGAAGGUGAACUUGAGGUUCCCUUGGGCCGUGGGUAGUGGCCCGACAAUGUCCAGGCCCCAGCGCUGAAGAGGCCACGUGUGGGUGAUUAGCUUUGUGAACUGCGAAGGGUUUCCCGAGCGUGGAGAAAAUUUCUGGCAGGCUUCGCAGGACCUCGUCACCCGAUUCGUGGUGCAAAUCAUAGCGGGCCAGUAGAAGCCUUGUCGGAUCACCUUGGUAGCUAGGGCCCUAGGCCCUGCGUGAGAGCCGCAAGUUCCGCUGUGGACUUUGCGUAGGAUCUGGAUGCCUUUGGUCUCGGUGACGCAUUUAAGCAUGGGUUGACUGACCCCCUUUUUGUAAAGCUAUCCCUCAAUGAGUGCGAAGUCCCGACUUCGAUGUUUGAGGCGCUUCGCCUCGUUGAUAUCGCUCGGAUGGUAGUAUCCCUGCAGGAACAGGGUUAUUGGUGCCCGCCAGUCUUCGGUCAUGAUGAGGUUGACUAUGCGGUGGCCCUCGGUGUCGUUGGUGAUUUGGAGACCCUCUGGGCUGCGGACGGCUGGCGUGCUGAUGACAUGGUAGAACACAUCGGAGGGCAGGACCUUGCCUCUGGCGGCUGCCUUGGCCAAUGCGUCGGCCUCCUCAUUCUUGGCUCGGUCCACGUGCUGCAAGGUAAAGCCCUUGAAUUGUCUCUCGAGACUGCGGACAGCCGCGAGAUACUGCAUAAGUGCGGGGUCCCUUGCUGCGUAAUCUUUCUCGACUUGGUCGGCAACCACUUUGGAGUCUGUUCUGAUUAUGCAGGUGGUGACGCCAAGUGCCCGUAACUUGCGAAGGCCGAGGAUGACAGCUUCGUACUCUGCUACAUUGUUGGUGCAUCUGUCGGACUCCAAAGCAAAGCUGAGUCGUGCUGCAUAUCGGUGCUUGACCCCUGUGGGUGAAAUAAUGACUGCAACUGCGCCUGCCCCCGCAUGGCACCAUGCGCCGUCGCAGUGGAUGGUCCACACCUUCUCUACAUGCGUGUCCGGCUGCGUUAUUGGCCCGGUCCAAUCGACGAUGAAGUCUGCUAGGACUUGUGACUUGAUGGCUGUCCUGGGCUCGAAUGUGAUAUGGUAUCCGGAAAGCUCGGCUGCCCAUUUGGCGAUCCAGAUAGAUGCCUCCAGAGUCCCCUGUCCGAGGUGACCCGUACCUUGAACGCUUCAAAAUAAUGGUGCAGCUUGCGCGAAGCCAUAACGACUAUGUAGGCGAUUUUUUCCAGUUCUGUCAUGUUGCAUUUGGAUGUCGUGAGCACUUCGGAGACGUAAUAAACUGGACAUUGUCUGGUUGUGCCCUCUCUGUCCUGUUCUUGAACCAGCGCUGCGCUGACCGCGUGCGGCGAAGCUGCAACGUAGAGCAAUAGGGGUAGCGAGGGGUUGGGGCUUGUAAGAAUCACCAGCUCUGACAGGUGCUGCUUUAGUGAAGCAAAGGCCACCGCUUGCUCUGGUCCCCAUGCGAAGUCUUUUGCACUGCGAAGCGUUUUGAGGAAAGGUAGGCUUCGCUCUGCGGACUUGGAAAUGAAUCUAUUUUAGGGCGGCCAAUCUGCCUGUCAGUCGUUGGACGUCUCUGGCUGACUGUGGGGGCGUCAUGUUGAUGAUGGCCUGGAUUUUGGUCGAGUUGGCUUCGAUCCCUCGGUGCGACACCAGGUAGCCCAGUAUCUUCCCCUGGCAGACGCCAAAGACGCACUUUUCAGGGUUUAGGCGAAGUCGUGCAUUCCGCAUGUUCGCGAAUGUUUCUGCGAGGUCAGCCAGAUGGUCUUCUUUGCUUUUGUUGGCGACGACGAUGUCGUCCACAUACGUAAAUAUGUUUCUGCCGACUUGGCUCUCGAGCACCGCUUUGGUGAGGCGAGAGAAUGUGGACCCAGCAAGUCCCUCUGGUAUUCUGAUGAAGCAAUACGUGCCGAAGGGUGUUAUGAAACUGGUGCUGGCCUUGUCUUCCUCCUUCAUAUAUAUUUGGUGGUAGCCGGAGAAGCAAUCAAGGAGUGACAUGACUUCGCACCCGGCUGCACUAUCGACGAUCUUGUCGAUCCGAGGCAGCGGGAAAUUAUCCUUGGGACAGGCCUUGUUGAGGCUGGUGAAAUCAAUGCGCAUCCGCCACUUGCCGCUCUUCUUUUGCACCAUGACUACGUUGGCGAGCCACGUAGGGUAGGCGACUGGCUCGAUGAAGUUGGCCUCAAGCAGGCGGUGUACCUCGGCCUUGGCGGCUUCUGUCUUCUCAUCAGACAUCUUGCGCAACCGAUGCUUCUUUGGCCUCACCGAAGGGUCAAUUCCCAAGCUGUGCUCGAUGAUAGAGCGACUGACUCCGACCAGGUCGAGGGCGGACCAGGCGAAGACGUCCUUAUUUUUGGACAGACAGGAGAGGAGUCUCUCCUCGUCAUGCGAAGUAAGGUCUUCGCUUAUGAUGACUGUUUGCUUGGGCGUUGCCUGGUCAAGGGGAACAGUCUUGGUCCCAUCGUUGCUCUGCAGCUGUGCCUUUUCAUGCUCUUUGGCGGUUGGGCUGGUAGCCUUGGGGACCUCGCGCUGUGCCGUGAGGCAGUGUAUGUUCCUUUGCCCUGGAACGAGGUCUCUUUCUAUGUUGCGCGCGGCCUGCUGGUUGCCGUAGACUAUGAUCGCGCCUUGCGGACCCGGGAUCUUCAUGCACAGGUAAAGUCUGUGAAUGGUUGCCUCAAACUUGUUGAUGGAGCCCCGACCCAUUAUGGCGUUGUACGGGUACACCAUGUCGACGAUGUCAAAAGUGACUUGCUCACUUCGUGCAUUGGGUGCUACACCGAAGGAGAGGGGUAGCUCUAUUUUGCCGACAGGAAAGGUGCCCUUGCCGCCGAAGCCAUACAGGGGGUUGUCCGAAGGUUUAAGCAAACUAUGGUUGAUGCCCAUGCGGUCGAAGGCGUGGAGGAAAAUGAUAUCCGUUUGGCUGCCGUUGUGGACUAAGACUUUGUGCAGGUCCCAGCCUGCCACGCUGCAGUUGAUAACCAUGGCGUCGAUGUGGGGUGCGCUGCGCAGGUCGACGUCUCUGGCGUCGAAGGUCAAUGGCACAUGGGACCACUUUGUCUGCAUGACUGGACCGGUGACGGUGACGUGGUUGAUUCUGCGAUAGUGGUCCCUCUUCUGUCGCUUCGUGUCGAAGUCGACGCUAGACCCCCCAGUGAUCAUGUGAAUGACUCCGCGAUACGGCUGAUCAGCGAAGUCUUCUUGUUUUGGUGCUUGGGGUGGUUGGGGUGGUGGAUGUUUGGCUGUUGCGGGUGUGGAGGUGGGAGUGGGGGAGGUACGAUUUGCACCUCCUGGUGGUGUUGGUAUGCGUGGUUAGGUGGAUGCGGAGCGGGGCCAUGGUUGUAUGGUUGUGGGGGUUGUUGGUAUGUGUGCGCGACAACUCUUGGGUUGUCAGCUGGUUGCGCCCGAGACAUCCUGUCUCUGGUGGCCUUCGUUUCCGGGCAGUCCCUUGUUGGGUGCGCGCAGUCUUCGCCGUGGAACAAGCAGUAAAAUCUGCGCGGCUGCUGCGCCCGUCCUCAGCCCCGACCACAAGUUUCGUUGCCGCGGCCCUGAGGGGGAUAAUCUUGGCGGCGAGGGGCCUCACCAGCGGGGUGCUGGUUGGUGAUGUUGUGUACCUGCUGCUGACUGUGACCGUCCCUACCGGAGUCUGACUACGAAGGUCUCGUCCACGUUCGGCUGGACUGCGGAGGGUCUUUGGGUUUCCUCUGGGACUCGACCUUGCGCUGGUGGAGCUCUUCGGAUCUGGCAUAUUUUUCGAACAGCUGAUACAGCUCCUGGAGGUUCUUAGGUGGUUCUCUGAUGCAGUGGCUGUAAAGGACGCCAGCCCGAAGGCCACUGAUGGCGUAAUGAAUGGCGAUUUGGUCAUCAACCGAAGGCAGUUGUGACUUGAGAGUCAGAAACUUGCAGUAGUACUCCCGCAGAGUUUCUCUUUCUAGCUGUUUGCAGAGUGACAGUUCAGCCAAGGCGUCGGUGUCUGGGCGGUACCCUUGGAAGUUGAGCAGAAAUUUGUCUCGGAGACUUUUCCAGGAGUCGAUGGACAAUGGAGGCAACCUGGUGUACCAGGUGAGAGCCGGGCCUUCGAGGGCGAUGAUGAAUGAUUUGGCCAUCGCGGCGUCGUCCCCUCCGGAUGAUGCAACGACGACUUGAUAGCUCAUGAUAUACUGUGAUGGGUCAGUGCUACCAUUGUACUUGGGGUAGGUCCCUGCCCUGAAGUUGGCGGGCCAUGGUGACACUUGCAGGUGCGGCGCCAGGGGACUCCGCUCGUCAAGGUAGUUGACACCUUGGAAUGCUGUGGCUUGCGGGAUGACGGGUCCGCGCUGAGGAAUGAACAGGUCUUCGAAUGGCGCGCGCUGUUGGAGGGGUGGGCCAUGUUGCAGAUCAAGUUGGCCUUCACGCUGCAUGAGCGCAAUCUCUUGCUCAAGUUCCUGAGCCCUCUGCUCCUCGUCGCGUAUCAUCUGGCGCACUUUGGCCUGCGCAGAGACAUGUUGGCGCUUGGCCUCGAGGAUCUCUUUCUGCUUCUGGAGGUUGCGGUUCUUGAUGCGCAAGGCCCACAGCUGUAGCUGCUCCUCUGCUGAAACGCCGAUGACUUCGCCAUCCUCAGUGGCGUCCGCGCCCUCCGGUGGAGCAAAGCCUGGGGGAGGUUGCGGUUGUCCUCCGGAGCUGCAGGUGCGGAUACUGCCUUCGGGUGUAGGUUGUUCAUUGCGCUGCCUCUUGCUGAGUGCGUCGUCUUCGCAGGCUUCUUGGUGGGUGGUGUCUACAAGGGCCUUGCCCUUAUUCUCGGCCAGCAGCGCUGCCUUUGCUGCUUCGUCAAUGGAUGGGGCUGCCUUCGAGCUAGCUCUCUUGGGUGCCAUCGCGGGUGGUUUUUUCGUAGCACGAACGAUGGGCGCCAAAUGUUGGAACUUGCUCUCCUGGGCAAGUUGAUCCAAUGGGGGAAUGAAAGAAACGUAAACAAGGUUUCAACUUGAGACGACAAUAGCUCUGUUAAAUCCAGCCUCUCAAAGGCACUCUACGGGGGUAUUUAUAGGUGCCUGAGUGCCCAACGUCUCAAUGUAAGGACACAUGUACCCUCAGGCACCUGGACUAUCCCCGAAAUAUUCCUAUAAAGGAGGGUUACAGACACGCUUCUCCGUGCGGGGCCUGUUACAAUGGGCUGAAUCCCACGUGGGCCUCAAGGCCGAGUGAGGACGUGGGAUGGGGCGACGUCGUCGUAGGCCUUCGUCUCGUAGUGUACAAGGCGAAGGGUGGACCUCGCCGGUUCUUCUGCUUCCGUUGGCGCAGCGAAAAAGACGAAGGCUGGAGCGAAGGGUAGCGUCUUCGCCUUCACCUCAACAGGAGGGAGGUGGAGAGAGAGAGAGAGCGAGGGAGGGAGAGGGAGAGGUUACGUCCUCACCUGUGAGAGGUCGAUGGCGCAAGGGAGGCGGCGGCCGGCGGCAAUGGUGCCUGGAGAGGGA
rnacentral:lncRNA from 1 species